GGUUGGGCUCAGCCUUGGACCCUGGGUCAGCUGACUACCCGCCGCUGGCCUCCUUUCAAAAGCAUCCCCGAGAGCCUGCGGCUGCCCCUGAAAAGCCAGGCCAGCCCAGCGGGGACUCCCUGUUGCUCCCAAUCCCUCUGUCCCGUCUCUCAGCGUAUCCACCCCAGGGGUACUUAGUAUGGAAAGGGUGCCUCCAAUCCGUAGGGUGUUCUGAUGGAGUUAACUGAUCUUUGCAUAAAAUCUGCUGAGUCAUACACACACGUCCUCUGUCACAAUAGCUUAGGUGAUUUUUCUUGAUGCAAAGCUCUGAUUCCCACAGGAAUAGAAAAACAGAGAGAGAGAGGAAAAACAAAAAACAAAAAAACAAAAAACACAUCCCUCAAAGACUCCAGAAAGACAAAAACAAAAAUUAGCACUGCUUAGAAAGAAUUCAUAAAUCAUUCUCACGUGGAAACCAAUCCCCUAUCUGAAAAGUCUCUCCAAUGGACAGAAAACCCAAGUGGGUUGACACACGUAUUAGAAUGGAUGGAAUGGUUCAUUUUCAACACGUUUUUGGAUUUCUUUUUUCAUUUUAAAUUUUCAGUUGAGAACAUCUUUUAUGACAGAAAUCCUAUGCAGCCCAUGGAUGGCGUUUGACAAGAACAAGGAGCUCAGUGAUCAGGGAGAUUCAGGGUUACCAUGGCCUUGCUCACCAUCCUGUUGUAAAGACAUCGUGACAUCGCAAAAACCUCCUCAUCCCAUUGUAAAGACAUCAAGAUAUUGCAAGAACAUCACCAUCUCAUUGUAAAGACAUCAUGACAUUGCAAGAACCUCAUCAUCCCAUUGUAAAGACAUCAUGACAUUGCAAGAACCUUUAUGGUCAAACCCAUGAACCCAGGUUUACAAGUGUGAGCUGAAUCAUUUCUACAUGCUUUGGAACUUGAUUCUGCCAUCACCUAGUCUGUGUCUCUGUCCCCAAAAAGGAAAAAGGAUUCUUGUGAGAAUGAUUUUUCAGAAUAAUGGACGUGAAAAGAGGUGGACAAUUAAGCAAUUUUCCAAUGUAGAUAAAACCACUGGACCAUUGACAGCCCUAAAGCUCUGAUUUUUCCUCAUGACUAAGUUUCUUUUCAUGUGGGGGCUUUCGACAUCUGAAUUUUCCAGAUGAUUGCAGAACCAUCUUCACUACACAGAAGUAGACAUUUUGGCAUUAUGAAAAAAUAAAGGCUGUCCACAGGAAUGCAAACAAAAAAGUCAAGAAGUAGGUCACUCAAGGAGCGAAUUUGGUUCUUGUGAUGGCAAACAUCUGGUUAUGUGGGGAAACCCGGGUGUUUGAAUCCUUAGUUUUUCAUUCUGUUGUCUGGUGUUGUGUAGACAGACAACAAAUGCUCAGGUGUUGUAGGUAAUGGAAUUUAACUUUCUUGUGCAUUAAUCGAUUGCCGGUGAUAUUCUGCUGCUAAAAAUCUCUUUGUGGUGCAAAGAGAACUAAAUAAUACAGAGCAAAUGCUAUUGGAUUUUGUGAUUGACUUUCAGCAAACAUGUGACCAGAAGAGGUUUGGGAGGCUGGCCCCUGUGUACUGAGAGGUGCUCAUAGCACAGAGCCACUUCAGAGCAAAAGUUCUGGAGGCCUGCUUCCUGGUGCCUGCCUGGCCAAGAACCCUGUUAUUUAGCCAUUUUCCAUCUUUUAUGAUUGUAUAAUUGCUCCUCUGCUCUUCAUCCACUCUUAAUCACUCACAAAGUCUACAGGGUAGAAACAUUCAAGGGAAAUAAUCAUAUGUUAAUGUUUUAUUCUUCAAAUAGGAAGUUUCGAUUUUAAGGAUUUAUUUUACCUCUUUACACAUAAAAAUAGUUUCAAUUACAGGCAGCCCGGUAUCUAAGGGUUCCAUGUCCACAGAUACAGAGGGAAGGCCACUGAAAGGCACUUUAGCAUCCUUGGAUUUGGGUACCCCAGGGGGUCCUGGACCCAAUCCCCCAAGUUAUUUCCUGGUAAAUUCCACAGUGUCAGGAGAAGUAAAAGCUGUUUUU
rnacentral:lncRNA from 1 species